CACUGCCUUUUUAAAGUUAAAUUCAAACUUUAUUGUUUCGUUUACUUUUUUGUGCUUUUCCCGCUUAUAUUAGCGUUUAAAAAUUUUCAGUUGCUACUUUUCCGUUUUGUCGUCAACUCUAAUGACUGAGCAAAAUUGAACUUUUUUAAAACACUUAUUUUUACUCUUGGGUAUCUGGCCCUGUCAAUUUUCUUCAUUCAUAAUUUGAAAUCGUCAAACGUUUGACUUGCUCGCACUUAUGUAAAAUCGUUUAGUUAAAAAAAUUAUGAGCAACGAAUAGGCCAACAAAGUAGUGUCAUAAGCAUAUGAUCUAAGCAGCUGUGGCUCAUCAAAACAUAUACCAAAAACACUGUUGGUGUAAAGUUUGUUUAUCAGAGCAUAUCUGUCUACUUGAUUUUCGUUUCUAAUAGUGUAUUUCCACAGAGAUCCAUCCACCUUCCACUAUCCGUUGAAGAGAUGUUGAACGGAAGUUCCAUAAGGUUUUGCCGUUCAAGAAUUUUCCCAGUUAGUCCGCCGUUAAAAUUUGACGGACUUUGACGGACUAAUUUACGCAAUAGUAGACAAUAGUUAAACACAAACAAAUAUGGUUGACUUGUUGAUUUUGUUUAUGUUUAUGUUGAUGGUGGAAAUGCUCUGUGGAAAUCGGAGUUUCCCAUUUAUCAAAAAUCCCAACCGUUUUUAACUAUAGCAUAAUAAUAGCCAUGGCAUGGCAAAACCUUACGGACCAUCUUUGAAAGAGAUGGUGGAUGGUUCUCUGUGCGACUAGUCCAUAAGCCUGUAACAAUCCGAUAUGCUUGGACGAAAUAAAUGUUCGCGCAAUUUUGUUAGUUUGUGCCAGCUUGUCCUAGAUGGUGGAUUACUGUUUCUAACAGCACUUUUUUAACUAAUAUUAAGCCGAUGUUCGUAACAAGCAACACCAAUAUUAUUGAGCGAAACAAUUUUAAUAACAUGUCCUCUAUCUAAAAGCAUGAUGCCAUUGGGACGUUUUUGGUAUUUUUAAAUUGAAAAAUAGAAGGCGCCGAAGAGGUAUGCAACAGGUCGAUGGUACAAGAACAGCCAGUGGCAAGCUGAGGUGGACAUUGGCGAUGGAGAUGCUGCUCAGACAUUUGGCAGGAAAAUUUAGAGCAAUUGCGUGGAACCCAAAAAAAUGUCCAUGUGUACAUGGAGCUGGCCCAGACCAUAAUGGAGGCUGGACAUGAUGUGUCCUAUAAAACUGAGAAGCUUACAAAGAAGUACAGGCAGGAAAAAAAUAAAAUUGGGCCAACCGGGGGGCUCCUUCUGUGUGGCACCACUACAAGUCGCUGAACUCAUUUUUGAAAUCCUUCCGCAUCCACAAAAUGCAAAACCACAUGGAGCAAAACACGGUGGAUAACGAGAGUUUACACUGUGGAGAACAUUGUGUAAGCAUUGGGCAUGGAGCCCGACGAUAUUGAAGUCUCCAACUGCAGCGAGAGCAAACGCUCAGGUAGCACUGUGCUUUCAGCGAAUCGGGCUAAGGUGGACCACAAGGCCGAGUAAGUGCAGAUUGCUAGAGAAAGGUUGGAGGAGCAGAAAGCACAAACGGAUAUCCUAGCGAAAAUGGCAGAAAGCCAGGCCCGGUUUUAAUUGAGUUGCUGCAGAUAUUAAGAAGCUCAAAAAAUUUUAUUAAUUUAGAAUAGAUAUUAAUUUUAAGAAAUAUGGGAAUUAAAAA